UACACACUCUAAGACCUAGAUCCGGGGACUCUAAAAAAAAUCCAUCCGCCGUUACACCAAGAGACCCACCCCCCCUGAAACUUGGUCUUCUUCUUCACAGACCUUAGGAGACCUAUAGGCACAUAGAGACUUGAGAAAUCCGCCGCAGAACAACAGAACCCCACCCCCUGAAUACCAUAUUCUUCGAACCCACCCCACCCCAAACGUCAAAAGCAGCAACCCCUGCUACCAUCACCAGCUCGCCUCACCACCCCUGCCCUUCAUCUUCAAUCUCCAGACCUUCACAACAGAACACCCAAAACCAGACCCACCAGUGAACAACCAACGACACCCAUCCUCUAUACACAAACCAAGCGCACAAUCUUAACCACACACAACCGCACAACUUCUCACCAGACCCAACCUAGUUCGCCGGCGUUGUUCCUUGCCUUUCUCUCACAGAUCUGUGAAGAUGUACACAUCCAGGAAAAAGAUUUACAAAGAUAAGGAUGUUGGACGUAUUGAGUUUGAGUGAGUUGAUUUCAGUCAAGAUCUGAGGCUGUCGUUCGUUGGUUCCAAUUUAAGGCUAUUGUUGCGUCCGUUUCUCGAUCAAGUUCGAGUUUGCCGGGAUUUUACAUUGCUGUAAACAAAUUAGGUAGCUUGAUGGCUUCAACUUAACUCAUCGGGAAGCAAUGAGAUGGUGCAGGGAAGCAGGUGAUAAAGACAAGGAGGUUGAGGAUGUUGUUAUAUCCAUGUUUGAUCUGGUUUCUGUUUUGGACAGCGUAGCUUUAGAAAGCUCUGGUACCAUGUAGAAAAAUACAAGAUUGAGAGGAGCUUAUAUUGAGCAGUCAAGUGUUUUCAUAUAUGUUACAAAGAUAAAAGUGAUUGUAUUUAUGCAAGUCACAAGUCUGGAGAAAAACAAGGCUAAGUAUGUUAAGUCGAUAUACAAUGACUUAGAGUUCUACAAGACGUAUGACUAUUACAUUGAGUUGAAUACAAACUCUACAAUGCUAACGAAUGAAGCUCAUCUAGUGGUGAUCUUAUCCUUAUCAUGUUCAACUUUUUCAAUAUUAUGUAGUCAUUUUCUUUCUAGCUGGA